UACGGAGGGGGCAAGCGUUAUUCGGAAUUAUUGGGCGUAAAGGGCGCGUAGGCGGCUAGAUGUGUCAAAGGUGAAAUCCCUCGGCUCAACUGAGGAACUGCUUUUGAAACUGUCUGGCUUGAGGCCGGGAGAGGGUAGCGGAAUUCCCAGUGUAGCGGUGAAAUGCGUAGAUAUUGGGAGGAACACCAGUGGCGAAGGCGGCUACCUGGACCGGUUCUGACGCUGAGGCGCGAAAGCGUGGGUAGCAAACAGG
rnacentral:rRNA from 1 species